CUUCCCCACGCACGCUUCCUCGCCUGAUCUCCGCUUCAGUAACAGAACUUCCGGCUCUCGCUUCGCCUCCGAAUCCCAGAUGAAAAGCUAAGACCCUCUUAUUUACCCUGUUAUGCAAUUACUUGACUCCUGCUUCACUCCUGCUUCACUCCUAAUCCCUAACUGUACUUGGCAGACGUAACAGAUCCAUUUGCAUCCCUAAUU
rnacentral:lncRNA from 1 species